UUCGUCAUAUUCAUGAAAUCUCUGUUGUG
rnacentral:sRNA from 1 species